rnacentral:piRNA from 1 species
UUAAUCCUUGGUGUCGUGUGUUAAACC